UUGAUAGGCAUCAGGCGUAGUUCUCGUUCGGCGGUGCCGGACGAGAUAAUAGGGAACACGGUGCGCCGCGUCCGCGCGGUUAUUCCGAGGCUGCCCCCGCAACUGUAAGCGGCGAAUCUCGCCGAGAGAACACCACUGGUCCGCAAGGGCUGGGAAGGUUCGGCGAGAUGAUGACCCGUGAGCCAGGAGACCUGCCACAACCGUUCGCAGCCG
rnacentral:ncRNA from 1 species